rnacentral:rRNA from 1 species
UACGUAGGGUGCAAGCGUUGUCCGGAAUUAUUGGGCGUAAAGAGCUCGGUAGGCGGCUUGUCGCGUCGGCUGUGAAAACCUGGGGCUCAACCCCGGGCCUGCAGCCGAUACGGGCAAGCUAGAAUUCGGUAGGGGAGCGUGGAAUUCCUGGUGUAGCGGUGAAAUGCGCAGAUAUCAGGAGGAACACCGGUGGCGAAGGCGGGUCUCUGGGCCGAUAUCGACGCUGGAGGAGCGAAAGCGUGGGGAGCGAACAGG